rnacentral:lncRNA from 1 species
UAGAAUAAAACCAAUUUUAAUAUAAAUUAUAUUUUAAUAAUAUAUAUGCAUAAGGGUAGUUAAAUUAAAUAUUAUGGAAAAAUUUCAAACAAUAUGAUAAUAUAGAAUAUAUUAAAAUAAUAACUAUAUAAUUAAACAAAUAAGGAAAAAAACAAAAUGUAGGUGAAAUACUAGAUUGAAAUGAAGUAAAAAAUGAUUAGAGCAAUUCAAAAUAUAUAUUUAAAUAAUUUUUUAAAGAAAUGAAUAUUAAUAUAUAUAUUGAGAUGAAAGAAAAACUUAAUUGAAGUAAAAUCAAACUUAAAAAGAUAAUUAAUACAUAAAAAACUAUUGAAAUAAUGACUAAAUCACAGUACGCGCGAACGAUCAGGGAUCAAAACUGAAAAUAAUCCAGAUCCCAAAACAUGGCGCCUAGGUGCGUACCUAAUCGCAAAGACACGCAAAUUCUAGGGAAAAAUUGAAAUAAAAUAAAAUGUAAAUAAGGACCAACGAAAAGUCUACGCAAAGACGAAGGACUUGACGCACAAAUUUACCAUCCGAAAUGCCAAGGCGCGGAUCCAGCCUAUGGAUCGGGCUUGCGCGCAGAUCUCCUCCCCCUCUACACGUCACCGUUUUAGUUAAUUCCUAACUAAAAGAAAUUAAAUGGCAAUAUGCCAAUUCCUUCAAACAACCGAAGUAAAUCCCUAACUUUCUCCCCUUCUAACCAUCGGUUCAUCUCCGCAUAAUGGUGCUCUCAAGCUUGGAGGAACCUUUCAGCCUUGGAAUCUCUUUUGAUUCGAUUUCAAUGAAGCAAAGAGAAGAAAUCCAUGGCAUAUUCGCACGGUAAGGUUUUUCUUUUAUUUUGUUUUCCUUUUUUUCUGUUUUAAAUGCGAAAAAAACCAAAAGACCAAAAGAAGAAAUCGAAAAGAAAAUUAAAAGCCUCAAGAAAUUUGAAUUAGAAAAUCACCUUUUAAUUUCGGUAACCUUUUUAUUUCAGUAUGCGUGUGUAUUUCUGGGAAAAAGAUCCCCUUUACAUUCAAUUUCAUUCGGUCUUUAUAGCCGAAAAAUAAAAAUAAAAUAAAUAAAAAAUAAAAAUUUCCUUGCUGUAAUUUGUUGUUUUCUCCUUUUGUUUGUUAGUUUGUUGCAGGUGUGCAUGGUGUGGAGUAACAGAGAUCGUGACGUGAAGAUUGGUUCCAUUGUGAAGUUGCAGCGCACAUGAGCUUGGUGGCUUAGGGUUUCCUGAGAGUAUUUUGUUUUGGGCUGGGAUUUGGGUUAGGAGUUUAUUUUACUUUGGGCUAAUAAUUUGCUUGUAAGUGGGCUAGAUAAUUGGACUUGUAACAGGGACAUUGGACUUGAUUAUUUUAGUUUUAUUAUUUUUGCUUUAUUUUUGGUUUUGGUUCUAGUGUAAGCCUGGGCAGAUUGGGCCUGUACACGAACUAUGACUACUUUUCCUUUUGUUUUACAUAAUUGUUUUAGAUUUUCUUGUCGGUAUGUUAAACCGUUAUUUUUGGGAUGUUAGUCGAUGGAUGUAGUGAGAAAUCGCCACUUUCUGAUGUACUGUUGAUAGGGAAAGGCUUAGGGAUUGUUUCGGUGGCUUAAGCGUUGAUUUUUGGGUUGUUUUGGGGUGGUUUCGUGACUGCCUCGACUGCCACACAGGCAUGUGCUGAGGCACACGGCCGUGUGGAUUUGGAUAUUAGGGUUUCAGGCUAGUUAUGGGUGUCACACGGUCGGGCCACACAGGCGUGUGAUCGAUUUGGGGAUUUUUGUCAGAAACCACACGGGCGUGUGAGUUUGGUAAUUAAGGAUUUGAAAUUUGGGGUCACACGGCCUGGCCACACGACCGUGUGACUGAUUUGGGAAUUUUAGGGUUCUUACACGGGCUUUUGUUUUGAAACACACGGCGUGUAGCCAAUUUGGGGCCUAAGGAUUCCACACGGGUUUGUGACACCUUCACACGGUCAUGUCUACUCUGCAGUUGAAUUUAGCGAAAUUGGACAGUGUCUUAUACGGCCUGAUCGCACGGUCGUGCCUCUGCACUACAUGGGCGUGUGCCUCUGCGACACGGCCAUGUGCUACCCCUCACACGGGCAUAUGGACCCCGAUACGGCUUGCCUAGCUCCACACGGCCGAAGUAGAGGUGUGCAUGGGACGGGCCGGGUCGAGUUCAGGCCGGGCCCACAAAAAAAUUUAGGCCUGACCCGACUCGAAAUAUGGGCCUGGAUAUUUGCCCAAGACCGA